rnacentral:rRNA from 1 species
GGAAUUUUGGACAAUGGGCGCAAGCCUGACCCAGCCAUGCCGCGUGCAGGAAGAAGGCCUUCUGGGUUGUAAACUGCUUUUAUCAGGGAAGAAAACGCCCCUGCGGGAGUAACUGACGGUACCUGAUGAAUAAGCACCGGCUAACUCCGGUCCAGCAGCCGCGGUAAUACGGAGGGUGCAAGCGUUGUCCGGAUUUAUUGGGUUUAAAGGGUGCGUAGGCGGCCCGUUAAGUCAGCGGUGAAAUCCCAGGGCUCAACCCUGGAACUGCCGUUGAUACUGGCGGGCUUGAGUUCGGUCGAGGCGGGCGGAACUGGUGGUGUAGCGGUGAAAUGCAUAGAUACCACCAAGAACCCCGAUUGCGUAGGCAGCUCGCUAGGCCGAAACUGACGCUGAGGCACGAAAGCGUGGGGAGCGA